GGAGGUUUUGGUCGUUCCAGAAGGAGAGCAGCAGCUGCAUUUCCUCCAACGUAUCUGGAACUGGUUAUUCAAUUUUGCCUCCAAAUGGUGGAUUAGCAUGACGGUUUUACCCGAUGUAUCGUGCAUUAGUGUUUCAGGUGGCUUAUUGCAGUUCAUGGUGCGCUUAAUAGAGUUGGCUGCCAGGCUCAUGUGUUUCCAUAACGGGUGCAAGGGAAAUAUUUUUCGAUACGAUUUUUCUAUAGUUCCGCUGGUAUAAUCUAUCGCCUGUUUUGCUAAAAGGAUCUUUCGGCAACUAGAAGACGACGCGAAACCCGUUAUUAGCUGUAUCUUUUUGGGUGAUUUCGAGAGAAGGAAGGACGAUGAUCCUUUCCCGCGACCUUCAACUGACUUGCGACAGAUACUUAUUGAACUUCCCGACUUGGUAAGUUGGGCAAGUUGGUAUUUGUUUGAUAUAUCUUGCUACUAUGCAGUUUAUUUUCUUAUAAUCGUGUAUAUCUAACAACUUUUCUUUUGAGUUGCGAAUUUAUCGAAAACAACUUUCUUACCUUAUAAAAAAAAGUAAUAAAAAGUGACCAAAAUAUUUUCUAUCUUUAAGAUUUCAUUUAUGAUGUUAAAUCACUUUUUUGAAAAUACGAUUUCUACCAUGAAAGAGAAAAAGACGUGAAGGGAGGGCCGAGGGAGUAAUAAAAGGUAACACACACGCUAAGUCCCACAUCGCCCAAAGUGUAAACUAUUUUGCAUAUUAUAAACAAUACAAAAGAAAGCGUCACGCACCGAGCUUUGGUUCCCUCAAGUGUUGAGAAUGUUGUUGAUUCAGAAAAUUGAUUCGAUCUCUCAUGAAUACCAUGCUAUUUGGCCCAUUAUUUUUCAUUUUUAUUCAUAUGAUCAGUGUUGACCAAGUACUGUGGGGCUUACGCCUCAAAGCCCUAAUAUUUGCCUAACGCUCAAUGGUCGGGACGACCAAGCACUCAAUGAUUGAGACUCGUGUGAUAUAAAUAUAGAUUAUUUCGUACUUGGUUACUAAUUAAUGAUUAAGAGUUAAAAUAUUUGGUGGUAGUCUUAUCAUAAUUAUGAUUCUAACUACAUUUUUCUUAUCUUGCAGAAAGAACCAUUUACUACUAAAUAUUUUGAGACGUGGAAUGUCAAGUUGGCAACACGCAGGAGGACAGUCGAUUUCAACUUCAUUGAAUUGAGAGAUAGUAUCAAUUCUAUUAACUAUCUUCCUCCGGCUGAUUUUAUCCUUCUCUGUUUCUCUCUAAUCAAUGAAUUUAGUUAUCACGAGAUCGAAUCAGUGGUGAGUAAGCUUUCACGAGAUAGAAUUGAGAGCUAGUAUGGUUUUUUUACUUGGUUAAAUUUUUUAUAUAUAAGUUAAAUUUUUAUUUUUUUAAGUACCAAAGAUCUACUUAUGUUAUAUCAUGUCAUAAUUACAUCAUUCAAGGGAGCUAUUUGUUAAACUACUGGGAUACAAUAUAUUAGCCGCUAUGGCUACAAGGAUCCUGACAAUUUCUGCUAGGGUCAAGAUGAGAGCUAUAUGUAGUGAGUUAGUGUUAUAUACUGGAGAAAUACAAAAGUGUGUGUGUUGAUUAUAAAGAGUUUGAGCAAGUAGAUUGCUAAUCAAAACAUCUAUAUCCAAGCUUGUAGUAGCUAGUGUGCGAUGGUUGGGGGCACAAAAAUAGUAGAUGAGCAAUUGUUUCCUCUUGACCAAGUGAACAAAGAGGACAAUUCAUUCAAAUGAUGUAUUUAUAUCAAGUCAAUUGAUUAACUAUUUUAUAUUCAAA
rnacentral:lncRNA from 1 species